AGUGAACGCUGGCGGGAGGCCUAACACAUGCAAGUCGAACGGCAGCACAGUAAGAGCUUGCUCUUACGGGUGGCGAGUGGCGGACGGGUGAGGAAUACAUCGGAAUCUACUUUUUCGUGGGGGAUAACGUAGGGAAACUGACGCUAAUACCGCAUACUACCUACGGGUGAAAGCAGGGGAUCUUCGGACCUUGCGCGAUUGAAUGAGCCGAGGUCGGAUUAGCUAGUUGGCGGGGUAAAGGCCCACCAAGGCGACGAUCCGUAGCUGGUCUGAGAGGAUGAUCAGCCACACCGGAACUGAGACACGGUCCAGACUCCUACGGGAGGCAGCAGUGGGGAAUAUUGGACAAUGGGCGCAAGCCUGAUCCAGCCAUACCGCGUGGGUGAAGAAGGCCUUCGGGUUGUAAAGCCCUUUUGUUGGGAAAGAAAACCAGCAGGUUAAUACCCCGCUGUUCUGACGGUACCCAAAGAAUAAGCCCCGGCUAACUUCGUG
rnacentral:rRNA from 1 species